rnacentral:rRNA from 1 species
UACGUAGGGGGCAAGCGUUAUCCGGAAUCAUUGGGUUUAAAGGGUGCGUAGGCGGGAUUGUAAGUCAGUGGUGAAAUUUCCGGGCUUAACCUGGGCGCUGCCAUUGAUACUGCAGUUCUUGAGUAUAGUUGAUGUUGGCGGAAUGUGACAUGUAGCGGUGAAAUGCAUAGAUAUGGAGGAACACCGAUAGCGAAGGCAGCUGACAAAACUAUAACUGACGCUGAUGCACGAAAGCGUGGGGAGCAAACAG